rnacentral:rRNA from 1 species
GACGAACGCUGGCGGCGUGCUUAACACAUGCAAGUCGAACGGAAGGGCCCUGCUUUUGUGGGGUGCUCGUGUGGCGAACGGGUGAGUAAAACGUGAGUAACCUGCCCUUGACUUUGGGAUAACUUCAGGAAACUGGGGCUAAUACCGGAUAGGAGUUUCUGCUGCAUGGUGGGGGUUGGAAAGUUUCGGCGGUUGGGGAUGUACUCGCGGCUAAUCAGCUUGUUGGUGGGGUAGUGGCUUACCAAGGCUUUGACGGGUAGCCGACCUGGGAGGGUGACCGGCGACAAUAGUACUAAGAGACGGCGCAGAAGCGAACGGGCGGCAACAGGGGGAAGCCUUACAGAGUGGGGCGACGCCAGAUACGAAAACGCCGCGAUCGGAAUAACGUCCUUCGGGUGAAAAACCGCUGUCGCAGUUGACGUAGCGUUAGUGACGGUAAUGGGUAAAAAAGCCCCGGCUAACUACGUG